rnacentral:rRNA from 1 species
ACAGAGGCGGCAAGCGUUGUUCGGAAUUAUUGGGCGUAAAGAGCACGUAGGCGGCCUUGCAAGUCAGUUGUGAAAGCCUUCCGCUUAACGGAAGAACGGCAUCUGAUACUACAGGGCUUGAGUACGGGAGGGGAGAGUGGAACUUCUGGUGGAGCGGUGAAAUGCGUAGAUAUCAGAAGGAACAUCGGCGGCGAAAGCGACUCUCUGGCCCGUAACUGACGCUGAGGCUCGAAAGCGUGGGGAGCAAACGG